UGCCGCAUGGCACAGAGGGAAAAGGAGCAAUCCGCUUUGAGAUGGCCUCGCGUCCGAUUAGCUAGUUGGUGAGGUAACGGCCCACCAAGGCAACGAUCGGUAGCCGGACUGAGAGGUUGAACGGCCACAUUGGGACUGAGACACGGCCCAGACUCCUACGGGAGGCAGCAUG
rnacentral:rRNA from 1 species